AGCCCUGAGAUUCACAAUUGUUCCCAUUCGGUGAUCAGGACUGAACACAGACGACUCAUCAUGAAGUUUGGGCUGAGCUGGGUUUUCCUUGUUGCUAUUUUAACAGGUGUCCAGUGUGAGGUGCAGCUGGUGGAGUCUGGGGGAGGCCUGGUGAAGCCUGGGGGGUCUCUGAGACUCUCCUGUGCAGCCUCUGGAUUCACUUUUGAUGACUAUGCCAUGCACUGGGUUAGACAGGCUCCAGGAAAAGGACUUGAGUGGGUGUCAUUCAUUAGCUGGAGUGGUGGUAGCACACACUACGCUGACUCCGUGAAGGGCCGAUUCACCAUCUCCAGAGACAACGCCAAGAACACGCUCUAUCUGCAAAUGAACAGCCUGAGAGACGAGGACACGGCCGUGUAUUACUGUGCAGGAAACACAGUGAGGGGAAGUCAGCAAGUCCUGAGAGCACAGCCCCCCAGCAUGGACUGGAGCUGGAGCAUCCUCUUCUUGGUGGCAGUGGCUACAGGUGUCUCCUCUGAGCUCCAGCUGGUGCAGUCUGGGGCUGAGAAGUUCCAGGGCAGAGUCACCAUGACUGCGGACAAGUCCACGAGCACAGUCUACAUGGAGCUGAGCAGUCUGGCAUCUGAGGACACAGCCGUGUAUUACUGUGCAAAAGACACAGUGUGA